rnacentral:ncRNA from 2 species
AAGAUGUAUGCUCAAGUCCGCUGCCCGCAGGGGAAGCCGGUGCGAAUCCGGCGCUGCCCCGCAACGGUGAGCGAGCGAUGCGUCGGCGCCCCCAGGCGAAGCCCUGGGGUGCGUCCACGCGCCGCCGCACAGCCCGAUCGCCUGCCGGCAGCCGGCGCCCUCA